UGGUGGGUUGCCUUGUCAGGUUGAUUCCGGUAACGAACGAGACCUCAGCCUACUAAAUAGUCACGACUGGCUCGCCAGUCGGCGGACUUCUUAGAGGGACUAUUAGCGACUAGCUAAUGGAAGCAUGAGGCAAUAACA
rnacentral:rRNA from 1 species